rnacentral:tRNA from 1 species
AGGAAUUUAAGUUAACAUAUUAAAACCUAAAACCUUCAAAGUUCUAAAUGAGAGUGAAAACCUUUCAAUUCCUA